rnacentral:rRNA from 1 species
UACGUAGGGGGCAAGCGUUGUCCGGAAUCAUUGGGCGUAAAGAGCGUGUAGGCGGCCCGGUAAGUCCGCUGUGAAAGUCCAGGGCUCAACCCUGGGAUGCCGGUGGAUACUGUCGGGCUCGAGUCCGGAAGAGGAGUGUGGAAUUCCUGGUGUAGCGGUGAAAUGCGCAGAUAUCAGGAGGAACACCAAUGGCGAAGGCAGCACUCUGGGACGGUACUGACGCUGAGACGCGAAAGCGUGGGGAGCGAACAGG